CCCAGACUCCUACGGGAGGCAGCAGUGGGGGAUAUUGCACAAUGGGGGAAACCCUGAUGCAGCGACGCCGCGUGGGUGAAGAAGUAUUUCGGUAUGUAAAGCCCUAUCAGCAGGGAAGAAAGAAGACGGUACCUGACUAAGAAGCCCCGGCUAACUACGUGCCAGCAGCCGCGGUAAUACGUAGGGGGCGAGCGUUAUCCGGAUUCACUGGGUGUAAAGGGAGCGUAGACGGCCGUGCAAGCCAGGAGUGAAAGCCCGGGGCCCAACCCCGGGACUGCUCUUGGAACUGUGCGGCUGGAGUGCGGGAGGGGCAGGCGGAAUUCCUGGUGUAGCGGUGAAAUGCGUAGAUAUCAGGAGGAACACCGGCGGCGAAGGCGGCCUGCUGGACCGUGACUGACGUUGAGGCUCGAAAGCGUGGGGAGCAAACAGGAUUAGAUCCCCGUGUA
rnacentral:rRNA from 1 species